ensembl:lncRNA
AUUCCUCUUCUUUUCCUUCUUUGCAUUUGCAGAUAAGCAUUUUAGGAUCCACCCCCGCAGAGAAGCUUGGACUAAUUGCCUUCUCUGGGAACUCUUCCUCCUGCAAACUGGGAGGGUAGGGCCCCAUCAUGCCCCCUUCAUCACCUCACUUGUGCACCUCAUUCCUGUGCCUGCUGUUCCAAGCACUUCCACACCCCAGUCCUGUUCUUUAUCAGUGCCCAUUGUUUCUCCCCUCACUAAGACAGAGCCUACCCUGGCACAGUCCCAGCAAGCCGACCCCUUCCCCGAGCUCUCCUGCAAUUCCUGUCCCACUUUGCUUCUCUGCAUCAGCCUUGGCUGAUCAAUGUUUUGAGGGAAAUUUCUUCACUCUGCUUGAUUUGUAUUUUCUCUCCCCCUCCCUGCUCGUGCAGUAAUGUGUGGCAUUUGGCAUUAAAUGAUUACUUUUCUUGUGACAGCAGUUUCUUGCUUCCCAAGGAGUACAGAGCACUCCUGUCAGAGAGCUGCUACUGUCCCAGGAGGAGCAUUGCACGUAUCCCACACCCUGGCUGUGCCUGUGUUUCGUGGCAGAAGAGCAUCCCAAAACCUCCCUGGGUGAGGGAGCAGGGCCAGCCACUAGAAGGCAACGUGGUCCCACAAACAGCCACGUUAGUUCCCUCAGAGUGAGGGAGGCUGAAGCCUGCACUUCUGCUGGGGGUGAUCACUUUUGUCACUCACAUCUGUAAUUAGAGGGGUUCUAUUAAAAACAUGGGGUUUGCUCUGGCAGAGACUGUGGCACCAUUCGUGAGGAAGAAGGUAAGAAGUGGUCUCUGCUGGCGUGCAGGAGUUUCAGUGUUGUACUAAAACAGCAUUUACAGUAUUUGUCCGCUGUGUUAGCAAACAGGGCUGAAGGCAAUUUAUUGGGAAAGAGUUCAGUGCAAAUAGCAAUCUCUUGAUAAUCGCUACUGGUUUCGUAGGCCUGAAGCUCCUUAUGACUCUGUGAGGAGGAUUUGCUUUGCCAGCUUGCUCCUGCGGACAAUUAGCAAGAAACAUUUGUUUCUAUCAAGAAUUUAAUGCUGCCGAAGCGUAGUGAAUAAAUCCAUAUGUCUGGGUGGGUCUAUGACUUCAAAAUAGAUGCAGUGCUCCUGUUUAACCCUCUCCCUUUCUUCUCUCUUGUAGCUGAAAGACUACAGAUGGUCCUCUCUUUAUUUGUGUGUUAAAAGUUGUAUAAAGCUCCCCUAAGUAUUUUCUGCCUUUUAAUUUUCAAGAACAUUGAGAUGGAGAAAAUCUGCUCUGUGGAUCAAAAGAAUGGAGCCCAAUUAGCACAGCUCUCAGCGUUGAUCUGAACUAAGUAUCAUACAUCUCAUAAAUGGACCAUCUUGAUCUACUGUCACCUGGUCUCUGUUCAUUUGUUUGAUUUGUUUCUCUUGUUUUUCCUAGCAGUCACCUUGAAUUCCACUCUCUUAGCUGUAACUGUUUCAUUUCUUACACUGCCCUUUGUCUUAUGUGUGACUAACAAGGCCUUUUGUAUCUAUUCCUUUUUCUCACUCCUGUUUCACAUUCAGGCAGCUGUUGCUGGCGGAGGGCUCUGGAGAAGCCGUGACAUUGUAACUGCAAGCAAGCAGGAAGGGUCAGGGAGCAGAGGGGAAGUGCCCUAGCAGCAGCUCCAGUCCCUGUCCUGUACCAAGCCUUUGGCUCCUCAGAAGUGACUCACAACUCUCCUGUGCUGUAUCAAAGUGUUCUACAGGGAACUGAAUGCUGUGCCUAGGGACUUGUUACCUCUUGCGGCCUCCAGCCUGUCUUGUGCUCAGUCCUGCAGCACAGCCAUUAUGCUGAAUUUAUGACACAACAGUAAUUACUGUGCCAAACUCAACCAGAUGCUGUUUAAAAAAAAAAAAAAAGAAGAAGAAGAAGAAGGAAAAAGUACUCAAGCCUGAGAAACAAAACCACUGGGUUGUGCCUAACAAUGCUGAAUGAGAUGGCAGAGGAAGGAAAGCUUUAUUCAGGCUGUAGCAUUGGCUGAGCUGCCAUGGGCAUUCAGGUCCAUGGCACUGUAAACAGCACGUUGAUCAACAUCUCCUCCAAGUCUGCCACCUUGUGAGUGCCCUUCUUUAGCACAUCGAGCUGUGCAGCAUGAAGCACACCACAAGCCUGGCGCUCCCUCAGAGAGAACAAAGCUGGUCUCCUGCUGAUGCUUAAUGCCAGAACUUUUAUUAGCAGCAAGUGACAGCAGUUUAGCCUCCCUUCCUUUUUUUAGAUGAUUACAUUCUUAAGCCGAUUGACUGUGUUGACUAAAGGCAGCUGUUGAUCCAUACUCUUUCCUCUUGCACACACAAUGGCACAUAAAGAAAAGAAACGCCAGAUUUUGUGUGCUUGGGAUAAGCUUCAGAUUUGGAUUGCCUGAGCAGAGGUGAAAAAUUGGCUGCUUUCUCUCAGGAGGCGCAAGCCUGGGCAGAGCAGAGGGCUGUGAGCUGGGCUUCCUGGAGGCCCUUUCCUUGCCCACACCUCCAGGAAUGGGGACAAGGAUGGCAGCUACCGGAUGGAUCUGGAAGUUACCACCUUAAUGCAGGGAAAACGCUGUCAAGAAGAGGGACAAUUAGUGAAUGAAACACAAGUACAGCCUGCAGCCUUUAUGUAGAGCUAAAUGUGGAUGCGUAAAUGAAGCUUUCUUUUUUUGGUAGUGACUGUUAAUACGAAGAUCUAUACUCACAUCCUAGGCCCCAGCAGGUGCUUUGCUCAGAGGACAUCUGGGACAUCCAAAGUGGCAGCCUAUUUCUGGGCUCAGACAAGGGGAUGUGACACAGGGAUGUGACACAGGAAUGCACUACCAACACGUAGGCAUGUGGAUAAUUCACCUCAAACUCGCUUGCCCUGAACAUGCAGCAAUCCUCUGAGCUUGUGAACACUACAACUCCAGGUCAUGGCACUGGGAGUGCCCCCGUAGCCACAAAAGAGCUGAAAAGCUGCUCUGCAGUUAAAAAAAAAGGAAUCACCUAGAAGUCAGGCUGAGGGCCACAAAGAUGAUAAAGGGCCUGGAGCAUCUCCUGUAUGAGGAAAGACUGAGAAACCUGGAUCUGUGCAGCCUGGGAAAAAGAAGACUGAGGGGGGAUCUGAUUAAUAUUUAUAAAUAUCUACAGGGAGGUGGGAGGCAAAUGGAUGAGACUAGGCUCUUCUCAGUGCUGCGUAGUAGCAGGACAAGGAGUAAUGGCCUAACUUGAAUAUAAGAAGUUCCAUAAAAACAUGUGAAAAAACUUAUUUAUGGUAAGGGAGAUGGAGCACUGGAACAGGUUGUCCAGAGGGGUUGUGGAGUCUCCUUCUAUGAGACAGUCAAGAGCCAGCUGGACGCCUACCUGUGUGACUUGCAGUAGUGUACCUGCUUGUGCAGGGAGAUGGACUCAACAAUCUCUAGAGGUCCUUUCCAACCCCUGCAAUUCUGUGAUUCUUGGAGAGGAGCUCCCUUUUAAGCACCUUGUGUGUGUGACUAGGCAAGCACGUAACUUUACCCAGGAGGAAAGAUGAAAAUGGAAAUGACUUGCAGCUGUAAUUACCCAAUCAAGCUUUUUUUUUCAAGGAAAAGCAUGUCUUCUCUGGUGUAAAUUAAUGGAAAAAGACUCUUUCUGCAAGGAUUUAGUAGACAAAUUUUCUAGCUCAGCAUCUGCUGGGUGUAAUGCAUGGCAAAUACCUCAGGUAAAGAUAUCAUGGGAGUCUCAACUAACAAGAAGGAUCCUGAUACUAUCUUAUCUCAGCUGAACCUACCAUUCAGUGGGGCACACUAACAGUGGGGUGGGUUAGUAUCAUCCUCCAAAGAAUUUCAUGAUAACCUCUCAUUUGAAGACAGAGAUUCAGGAUGAAUGCCAGAUUUGCUACAUCUGAGAGCAGUCCGCUUAGACGUUCUUGUCGCACAUCAAAACACACUUACAGCCAUGUCUGUUUUCAUGAUGAUCCUCAUUUCAUCCUUCCCAGCAAAAUAAUAAAGAAAUAAAUAAAACCACCUAUCUGGUGUGAGAAGUUAAUUAAAAGUAAUGGUAACAUGUCAAAUGGCCAAUAAAGUGUCUGGGUUAACUCUGUAAUGUUGUUGUGUCCCAGUGGAGUUGCAGUUCUGAAUGUAUAAGCAUCACAGCAAGAUAUGACUGCAAGUGAAUAUCUCUAUUCAAAAUAAGGUAAAUGGUCAGAAAGCAGGGAAGAAGUUUUAGCAGAUGCGCACGUGCAUUCACUGAGAUAAGCUGCUACAAAUUACAGUACAACUCACGCUUACCUUCUCUUUCAGCACACCAGGCCUGCAGAGCAGCAGGCGCUCAGCUCCCACAAGUGUCCAUGUGAGCUGGGGGCAGGAAUGCCACAGAGGGUGUUCAGUUUUCAAGCCUUUGCCUGUGCAGACACAUCAAAAUUUCAGUGGAAUAAAAUAGCAAUGCUUGAUCAGAUUGCUAGCCUAGUGACUUCUCCUAGUUACAUCUCUUGCUACCAAUACAAGCACUUGUUAAAAUGCUUUUGGUUUCAUUUCUGUUUGUUGGUUUUGUUUAUUUCUACUAGCCCUUAAAUAUUGUGGUUAAAAAAAAAAAAAAAAGAGAUGUUACAUAAACAGAAUUGUCACUGCUCAAUGGGGGGAGAAAAAAAAGAGGAGCAUAACAUCACAUUAGAAAUGAACAUAGGUUUCCCUGAAAGUAAUGCCUCCUAUUUAUACCCAUGGAAACUACAACAGAUACAAGGAGCACAAUAACAUGCAAAUCUGUUUUGGGUACUUUAAAUUAUUUUUGCAGCCCUCAGUUUGAAGCUGCAACCGUGUUUUUCAUGCAGUUGUGUUUGCAACUGGAUUUCUAGAUUCUUCAAGGGUUAGCAUAAGAAAAAAAUGGAGUUUUAUUAAAUGGAUUCCUCAGAACAGAUGGAAAAAAAGAGCAUGCUUUUCUUUUAG